AGAUAUCUUCAGGGCAGGGUGAGAUUCCCUACCGGCGGUAGAGCCCGCGAGCCGAAAGGCAUGAUCCGGUGAGAUUCCGGAGCCGACAGUAUAGUCUGGAUGGAAGAAGAUGAUA
rfam:Eubacterium biforme DSM 3989 Scfld14 genomic scaffold, whole genome shotgun sequence.